rnacentral:hammerhead_ribozyme from 1 species
AUCCAGCUGACGAGUCCCAAAUAGGACGAACGCACUUCCUAGAU